UGCAGUCGAACGCCCCGCAAGGGGAGUGGCAGACGGGUGAGUAACGCGUGGGAAUGUGCCUUUUGGUUCGGAAUAGCCCCGGGAAACUGGGAGUAAUACCGGAUAAGCCCUUCGGGGGAAAGAUUUAUCGCCAAAAGAUCAGCCCGCGUUAGAUUAGCUAGUUGGGGAGGUAACGGCUCACCAAGGCGACGAUCUAUAGCUGGUCUGAGAGGACGACCAGCCACACUGGAACUGAGACACGGUCCAGACUCCUACGGGAGGCAGCAGUGGGGAAUCUUGGACAAUGGGCGCAAGCCUGAUCCAGCCAUGCCGCGUGAAUGAUGAAGGCCUUAGGGUUGUAAAAUUCUUUCAGCAGGGAAGAUAAUGACGGUACCUGCAAAAGAAGCCCCUGCUAACUCCGUGCCAGCAGCCGCGGUAAUACGGAGGGGGCUAGCGUUGUUCGGAAUUACUGGGCGUAAAGCGUACGUAGGCGGAUGGGUAAGUCAGAUGUGAAAUCCCAGGGCUCAACCCUGGAACUGCAUUUGAAACUGGGAGUCUAGAGAUCAGGAGAGGUUAGCGGAAUACCGAGUGUAGAGGUGAAAUUCGUAGAUAUUCGGUGGAACACCAGUGGCGAAGGCGGCUAACUGGACUGAUACUGACGCUGAGGUGCGAAAGUGUGGGGAGCAAACAGGAUUAGAUACCCUGGUAGUCCACACCGUAAACGAUGAGUGCUAGUUGUCUGCAGGCAUGCCUGUAGGUGACGCAGCUAACGCAUUAAGCACUCCGCCUGGGGAGUACGGCCGCAAGGUUAAAACUCAAAGAAAUUGACGGGGGCCCGCACAAGCGGUGGAGCAUGUGGUUUAAUUCGAAGCAACGCGCAGAACCUUACCUACCCUUGACAUGCCCGGCUACAUCCAGAGAUGGAUGGUUCCUUCGGGACCGGUGCACAGGUGCUGCAUGGCUGUCGUCAGCUCGUGUCGUGAGAUGUUGGGUUAAGUCCCGCAACGAGCGCAACCCUUGCCAUUAGUUGCCAGCAGGUUAAGCUGGGCACUCUGAUGGGACUGCCGGUGAUAAGCCGGAGGAAGGCGGGGAUGACGUCAAGUCCUCAUGGCCCUUAUAAGUGGGGCUACACACGUGCUACAAUGGCGGUGACGCUGAGCCAACCCCUAAAAACCGUCUCAGUUCGGAUUGCACUCUGCAACUCGAGUGCAUGAAGUUGGAAUCGCUAGUAAUCGCGGAUCAGCAUGCCGCGGUGAAUACGUUCCCGGGCCUUGUACACACCGCCCGUCUUCACCAUGGGAGUUGGUUCUACCCGAAGGUGGUGCGCUAUGCCCGCAAGGGAGGCAGCCAACCACGAUA
rnacentral:rRNA from 1 species